UACGGGGGGAGCAAGCGUUGUUCGGAAUCACUGGGCGUAAAGGGCGUGUAGGCGGUUCGGUAAGUGGGAUGUGAAAUCCCCGGGCUCACCCCGGGACCUGCAUCCCAAACUGCUGAGCUUGAGUACAGGAGAGGGUGGGGGAAUUCCAGGUGUAGCGGUGAAAUGCGUAGAUAUUGGGAGGAACACCGGUGGCGAAGGCGGCCCCCUGGACCGGUACUGACGCUGAGGCGCGAAAGCGUGGGUAGCAAACGGG
rnacentral:rRNA from 1 species